CCUUCGUUGAGAGGGUUUCGUCCGCUGAGAGAAAGCCCUGUCUUCGGUUCGUUUCCAACCAGCUGGUUGGGGGCAGCCAUGGAAGAACUGUGUUCGUUGCUGGACAUGCGUUGGAGGCCGUCGAUUUUUGUUUGGGAGGUGAGCUGCAAAUCUAGCCGCGCUUUCAGUCUUCGUGUCACAGAUUUGGGAUCGAGAGAUUUCAUCUUUUCUACAGCCUUCGACUCAGGCUUCCACCUUUCUUGCUUGUGAAUAUUUGCAUCCUUUGUCGUCAGCUUGAAUACACCAAAAAGCAGGGAACUGAAGAUUUGCAUUCCACUGCCAUUUUCAAGCUUGGAUACACCAAAAAGCAAGGGACUAAGCAUUUGGAUUCUGCUAUCAUAUUCGAGGAUCAAGACCUCCAUCAAAGAGAAGAAAAAUCAUGAAGAAAGUGCAAAACAAAGCUCGCCCAAUUAAAUAGCAUGCUAUACAAAACUAUCCAACUUUUGCUAUUUUGAUGCCUACUUCCUACUAUAAACAUCUCAAUGUAUAUACAAACAAGUGUAGUAUUUUAACAUAACAAGUAGCCUGUAAAAUAUGUUAUUACAUGCUUUUUUUGCAACUUACACUCCUUUAGUUAAACAUAAUGUUAUAAAUUAAAUCUCAUUGUAUAUAUAAACAAUCUAACUUUGUCUACGCAAUUUCAAAACCCGCAGCAUCGCGCGGGCUUUCCUGCUAG